rnacentral:rRNA from 1 species
GACGAACGCUGGCGGCGUGCCUAAUACAUGAAAGUCGAGCGAAGCGGCGGAUGGGAGGGUAACGCGUGGGUAACCUGCACUUAAGUCUGGGAAACCAUUUGGAAACAGAUGCUAAUACCGGAUACUAACGGAUGGACCUGCGAUGCAUUAGCUAGGUUGGAAGGGAACGGCUUACCACGGCUAUGAUGAAUGUCCGAGUUGCGAGACUGAUCGGCAAAAUUGGGACUGAGCCACGGCCCAAACUCCGACGGGAGGCAGCAGUAGGGAAUCUUGCACAAUGGACGAAAGUCUGAUGGAGCAACGCCGCGUGAGUGAAGAAGGUUUUCGGAUCGUAAAGCUCUUUUGUUGGUGAAGCGGUAAUCAACCAGAAAGUCACGGCUAACUACGUGCCAGCAGCCGCGGUAAUAC